rnacentral:rRNA from 1 species
AGAGUUUGAUCAUGGCUCAGGAUGAACGCUAGCGGCAGGCUUAAUACAUGCAAGUCGAGGGGCAGCAUGAGUAGCAAUACUUGAUGGCGACCGGCAAACGGGUGCGGAAACACGUACGCAACCUUCCUUUAAGUGGAGAAUAGCUCCCGGAAAACGGGAAUUAAUACUCCGUAACAUUAUGAGAUGGCAUCAUCUUAUAAUUAUAGAUUUAUCGCUUAAAGAUGGGCGUGCGCCUGAUUAGGUAGUUGGCGGGGUAAUGGCCCACCAAGCCUUCGAUCAGUAACUGGCGUGAGAGCGCGACCAGUCACACGGGCACUGAGACACGGGCCCGACUCCUACGGGAGGCAGCAGUAAGGAAUAUUGGUCAAUGGACGCAAGUCUGAACCAGCCAUGCCGCGUGGAGGAUGAAGGUCCUCUGGAUUGUAAACUUCUUUUAUUUGGGACGAAAAAAGGGAAUUCUUUCUCACUUGACGGUACCAGAUGAAUAAGCACCGGCUAACUCCGUGCCAGCAGCCGCGGUAAUACGGAGGGUGCAAGCGUUAUCCGGAUUUACUGGGUUUAAAGGGUGCGCAGGCGGAUAUGUAAGUCAGUGGUGAAAUCUCUAGGCUUAACCUGGAAAUUGCCGUUGAUACUAUAUAUCUUGAAUGCUGUGGAGGUAAGCGGAAUAUGUCAUGUAGCGGUGAAAUGCUUAGAUAUGACAUAGAACACCUAUUGCGAAGGCAGCUUACUACGCAGAUAUUGACGCUCAUGCACGAAAGCGUGGGGAUCAAACAGGAUUAGAUACCCCCGUAGUCC